UAAAUUACAAACUUUUUUUAUUUUUCGUUUUAGCUCAAUUGUACAUCAAAAGCAUACUUUACAAGUUCCUGUUUGGAUUUACUCAGUCGAGACCUAUGGUGGCACGAGAAUAUCCUAAAAUCUCAAUGCUAUAUUAUGGCAGUCAUAGAGAUUGGCAAAGGAGUACUAAUCCUAGGAGUUUAUAUAGCUGACAAAUUAUCAAUGCCACACUGAGGCUUUAGUCUAUUUUAUUUUUUUAAGAAUAUAACGGUCAAAUCUAAGGGACCGUGUGCCAUUGUGAUUUUUUUAAAUGUAAGACGAAAUAUUUUUUUAUCUGAAAUAAAGUUUUAUUAAAAACGAU
rnacentral:lncRNA from 1 species